GAUGAACGCUGGCGGCGUGCCUAAUACAUGCAAGUCGAGCGAACAGACGAGGAGCUUGCUCCUCUGACGUUAGCGGCGGACGGGUGAGUAACACGUGGAUAACCUACCUAUAAGACUGGGAUAACUUCGGGAAACCGGAGCUAAUACCGGAUAAUAUAUUGAACCGCAUGGUUCAAUAGUGAAAGACGGUUUUGCUGUCACUUAUAGCUGGAUCCGCGCCGCAUUAGCUAGUUGGUAAGGUAACGGCUUACCAAGGCAACGAUGCGUAGCCGACCUGAGAGGGUGGUCGGCCACACUGGAAGUGAGACACGGUCCAGACUCCUACGGGAGGCAGCAGUAGGGAAUCUUCCGCAAUGGGCGAAAGCCUGACGGAGCAACGCCGCGUGAGUGAUGAAGGUCUUCGGAUCGUAAAACUCUGUUAUUAGGGAAGAACAAAUGUGUAAGUAACUAUGCACGUCUUGACGGUACCUAAUCAGAAAGCCACGGCUAACUACGUG
rnacentral:rRNA from 1 species